UACGUAGGUGGCAAGCGUUAUCCGGAUUUAUUGGGCGUAAAGCGAGCGCAGGCGGUUGCUUAGGUCUGAUGUGAAAGCCUUCGGCUUAACCGAAGAAGUGCAUCGGAAACCGGGCAACUUGAGUGCAGAAGAGGACAGUGGAACUCCAUGUGUAGCGGUGGAAUGCGUAGAUAUCAGGAGGAACAUCGGUGGCGUAAGCGCUUUACUGGGCCGUAAUUGACGCUGAGGAACGAAAGCCAGGGUAGCAAAUGGG
rnacentral:rRNA from 1 species